AUGGAGCUUCAAGCUAGAGGCUUGAAGUUUCUGUAGCAGUGGUGAAUACUUUUCCAGGCUGUGGGUGCUAGCUUCAUGCCCAACCUUCCCUCUUUACCAAUCUUAUUACCGCCUUAGUAAGGCUUGGAAGUGCAUCGGUAGGGGAUCGAACCCCUGACCACCUGCUUGGUCGGCGAGCACUCUAACGCUAUACCUUGUCAUCCAAUUAGUGACGCGUAUGAAUGGAUCAAUCAGAUUCCUACUGUCCAUACUUACUAUCAAGCGGAACCACAGCCAAGAGAACGGGCUUGGCAGAAUCAGCGCGGAAAGAAGACCCUGUUGAGCUAUAUUCUACUUCAGCUUUAUGAGGAAACAUGAUGGAUGUAGAAUAAGUGAGAUCUGGAUGAUUCGGUGCCUGGAGCCAGUGAAAUAACACCGCUGUCAUUGUUCAUUUACUUAUCCAGUGAAACAGGAAUAAAAUGGUAUUUUGGUGGGAAGCAAACGCUGACAUGCGUGGUCUAACGCUGAGUGUGUCGGUGUCAUCUUCAUGCCAGAUGAAUCGUGAUGCAGACUGAGAUUAUAAAAGUUGUUGAAAAUGACAAUAAAAUACUUAAAAGUUUGAUUAGUAUCAAAGGAAACAUUAAAAAAAAUCAACGCAUCCGAAAUAUUAAACAUUGCGAUUGACUUCAGUCUGAGCUAUCAUUGAUUUAUAUGUUCCCCAAAUAAAAAAGGAGGGAGGGAUAGGAGAAGACGGAAAACAGAAACAUCUAAUGAACACUGUUAGAUUGUAGGUUAACAUAACGAAUCAGAAAAAAAAAAUUAGAGUUCAUAAAACUGGAAACGUGAUCAGUGCGAUGAAAUCACUAAUAAUAGUCAUUUGUAUUCAAGUGUUGGUUUGUAGGGAUUUGAUUGGUUUCAGGAUUUCAUCAUGAGCUGA
rnacentral:ncRNA from 1 species